rnacentral:rRNA from 1 species
CAGCCGUAAACUAUGCGCGUUAGGUGUAUCGGUGACCACGAGUUACCGAGGUGCCGAAGGGAAACCGUGAAACGUGCCGCCUGGGAAGUACGGUCGCAAGGCUGAAACUUAAAGGAAUUGGCGGGGGAGCACCACAACAGGUGGAGCCUGCGGUUUAAUUGGACUCAACGCCGGGAAGCUCACCGGAUAGGAUAGCAGAAUGAUUGCCGGGCUGAAGACCCUGCAUGACUAGCUGAGAGGAGGUGCAUGGCGUAGACGUCU